UCGGGUGAGUAUGCCUGGGGAUCUGCCCAGUCGAGGGGGAUAACAGUUGGAAACGACUGCUAAUACCGCAUACGCCCUACGGGGGAAAGGAGGGGACCUUCGGGCCUUUCGCGAUUGGAUGAACCCAGGUGGGAUUAGCUAGUUGGUGGGGUAAUGGCUCACCAAGGCGACGAUCCCUAGCUGGUCUGAGAGGAUGAUCAGCCACGCUGGAACUGAGACACGGUCCAGACUCCUACGGGAGGCAGCAGUGGGGAAUAUUGCACAAUGGGGGAAACCCUGAUGCAGCCAUGCCGCGUGUGUGAAGAAGGCCUUCGGGUUGUAAAGCACUUUCAGCGAGGAGGAAAGGUUGGCAGCUAAUAUCUGUCAGCUGUGACGUUACUCGCAGAAGAAGCMCCGGCUAACUCCGUGCCAGCCGCCGCGGUAAU
rnacentral:rRNA from 1 species